rnacentral:rRNA from 1 species
UAUUGCACAAUGGGCGCAAGCCUGAUGCAGCGACGCCGCGUGGGUGACGAAGGCCUUCGGGUCGUAAAGCCCUUUUCUGCGUGACGAGGCAAGGACGGUAGCGCAGGAAUAAGUCUCGGCUAACUACGUGCCAGCAGCCGCGGUAAAACGUAGGAGACAAACGUUAUCCGGAGUUACUGGGCGUAAAGGGCGUGCAGGCGGUCUGUUAAGUCCGGCGUGAAAGCUCCCGGCUAAACCGGGAGAGGUCGUUGGAGACUGGCAGGCUAGAGGACGGUAGAGGCGUGUGGAAUUCCGGGUGUAGUGGUGAAAUGCGUAGAGAUCCGGAGGAACACCAGUGGCGAAGGCGACACGCUGGGCCGUACCUGACGCUAAGACGCGACAGCAUGGGGAGCGAACGGG